GAUGAACGCUGGCGGCGUGCUUAACACAUGCAAGUCGAACGGAAAGGCCCAAGAUUGCUUGGGUACUCGAGUGGCGAACGGGUGAGUAACACGUGGGUGAUCUGCCCUGCACUUCGGAAUAAGCCUGGGAAACUGGGUCUAAUACCGGAUAAGACGAUGGUUUGGAUGCCAUUGUGGAAAGUUUUUUCGGUGGGGGAUGAGCUCGCGGCCUUGCAGCUUGUUGGUGGGGUAAUGGCCUACCAAGGCGUCGACGGGUAGCCGGCCUGAGAGGGUGUACGGCCACAUUGGGACUGAGAUACGGCCCAGACUCCUACGGGAGGCAGCAGUGGGGAAUAUUGCACAAUGGGCGCAAGCCUGAUGCAGCGACGCCGCGUGGGGGAUGACGGCCUUCGGGUUGUAAACUCCGUUCGCUAGGGACGAAGCGUCUUUGUGACGGUACCUGGAGAAGAAGCACCGGCUAACUCCGUG
rnacentral:rRNA from 1 species